GUCAGCCAUAGUGUUGUUUACAUGUGCGUGUUGGGGUGGGUGAGUGUGACCGUGUGUGCGUUUGAGAGAGAGAGAGAGAGAGAAUGAGAGAGAGGAGAGACUGCUUAGUAUUAUCUCUCACAAAUCCUUUCUUGGUUAUCUUCGUGAUUAUCUUAUGGUGAAAAAUCUCCUGAAAGAAGAAAGGUGACCACCCUCUCUCCUCUCUCGCCUGCGUUAGAUUUGCUUAGAUCUUGAGUCGCUUUCCUGUGUCUGACUCUCAUAUGGCCAUGGCGACAAUGACCCAUCAUUUGCUUUUGCCUUGGACAUAUUAAAACUCUCUCUCUCUUCUCUGCAAAUCCCUUUUCUUCUUCACCUGCCAGGAAAAUAAUAUGGAUUAGGGUUUUGAACAACGCCUCUAAUUACUUAGAUUCUAGGGUUUCGUAGUAGUCUCUUCCACUAUUUUGUGCACUGUUUGUGGAUCCUAUAUUCUGCAGAUAUGGAAUACUACUAGCUGCUUGGAAGUUUCAUCACAAGUCAAUGGUUUCUUUCCUGUCUCUCUAUAUAUUGAUGCUGAUGUUGGUUUCAUUGAUUUGAGUGCUUCGUAGUGAAAGUGGUGCACAGUAGCACUAGUUGCAGUUACAUGGUGGGUUUAAUUUCCAUGAGCUUAAUUUAUUGGUUUCUAUGAAUGUCAGAAAGCAACUUACCGUACGACGGAUUGAAGGAGUGAAUGUGUAGGCCAGUAGAAAUUAAAAUGUUGCAUGGUGGGUUUUGCUUUAUUAAUUGAUACAAAAUUACUAUGCAAUACAUCAAUUAGGUCUAAAGUUACAUGGUGAAUAAUGAAGAAAUGGUGAGAGAGAGCUUUCCUCAGUCCACACAUGGAUAGGAUUUGAUAGGGUUGUCGAAGUAGCUGCCGACUCAUUCACUCAAGCACUCAGUAGAGAUUAAAGGAGUAUCCGGCUUGUCUUAUUACUUUCCUUCAUUCCUGCUGCACAUACAUAUGUUGCUCUCAGAUGUGGCACUUCCAGACCGGACUAGAAGCGACUGCAGAUGGACCGUCAUCGGAUGUGGGACUUGUGCCUUUCCGAAAUCAUCAGACAAUUUGCUACUGUGGUUGUGUGAAUGAUGCGGGAGAUAUUUUACAUCCCUCUUUCUCUGCGCUUGGACUGAAGGGAGCUCCUCCUUUCCAUUCUCUCCACUUUUCUCCAUACUUUAGUUAAGGUUUAGCUGCCAAAAUUUUAAUUAGUUUCAUAUGCUUAUAUAUCAGUUAAAAGAGUUGAUCAUUAUCAUCGUCAUUCUUUCCCAUAUCUUACGUGCUAAAGUUAAGUGAUGAUUAACCAUUUGAUAUUCUCUCGCAAGAAAUACUGUUAGCAACUGUCAAUCUGACCCGUAGAUUAGGUGGUCUCUUGUUGAAAAGUGUUGUAGUUCAAAUUUAUAGUUUGGCAAGUAAAUUGUUGGAUGUAUACAGCAGGCAGAUUCUCUGCCUUCCCACUUCCCGUGCCCUCCUCCUGUGCUCUCUAUUUGUGUGGUCACGGUUAAACUAUGUCAACAUUUUAUAUUAUUAUUUAUUUUUAUCUUAUUAUCUCUAUAAAAAAAUAAUAUAAAAUGUUGACAUAGUUUAACCGUAACUACACAAAACAGGAGAGCAUGAAAAAUGAGAAGGUAGAGAAUCUGCCUCCAUGUAUACAUGCACUUGUUUUGUUUCAAUAGUAAAAAGCCCGUCCUGAAUUUUGGACUGGGAUCACCUAAUCCCAGCUUUUAGAGCAAACUAAGCAAAGCAUUCUAUCCUUUCAUUUUUAUCUUGCUUUGUUUUGCGUGAGAAUUUUUAAAUAUUUAAAUUUAUUUUUGGCCAUAGUAUCAAAAAUGAAAGAAUGAGAUGUUUUGCUUAGUUUGCUUUCGAGAGUAAGAUCCGGAGAUGAUCCCAGUUGCUGAACUUCAUGGGUUCUACUUUCUAGUAGGUGUACUCUAGCUAGGACUAAUGACCAUGCAUAUGAAGAAGGGGCCUACGUCGAGUGCCUUCUCUUGUCCAUUGAGUUGAUCACAGCUUUCCCAUUGUCCUCCUGUAAUCAGUUUACCCAGUCCCCUUCAUUUCCUCUGCUUUUUUCACCCGACAAGAAAAUCUUGGGCAGGUGCUUUUAUCUCUAUUUACCUUCCCAUUUUUCUAGAUAAUGUUUUCAGUCAGUAACUUUUCCCUUUUCCUCAUGUACUUCAAAGUUCAGAUCAUGUGCAUGCCGUGCCAGUAACAUGCAGCAGCAUCAAGUACCAUGCUUGCACUCACCAUUCAUAACAUUUCACUGAAAAUUUUCCAUGAAACUGUGCUCUUUUUCUAAGGUUACAAAAAACUGCGUUUUCUGCAAUAUUGGCCAAGCAUUGCUCUGCUUAUUUGUGUCUGUGUGUGUGUAGGUAUACACGUAUUAUAUAUAUAUAUAUAUAUGUAUAUUUGAGGCAGAAGGCCUCGAUUCUCAUUCCUGCAUUGCAUGUGUUCAUCGAAAGACGUACCUUUUGUCACAUUUUUAACUUCAUCUGGAGUUGAGCCGUCCGGUCUUCUAUGCUGUCUUGUCUUUCGUUGAUUUAUUAUUAAUUUUUAAUUACAGCGAUUUAUCUAGUAAUAUCAGAUGCUUAAUCCGUACUUAACCAGAUACUUUAAAAAUAAUUGCCAUAUUUGUGGAACAAGUAAGGAAAUUAAAGCCAGCAUUUUAUAUAUUCGAAUCAAAGCUUUGUUGGAGUUGGGUCUGUAUUUUUUAGUUAUUUCUGGAACUGGACGGUGAGUGGUGUUUAAAGUUUGAUUAUGUGGCGAUGUGAUGACUGUAUAUUUCCAUAUUUGGAACGAAUGGAGUUCAUUCCUUAAGUCCUCUUUUGGAAAUCAGCUUUCGUUUUAAGGAAAAUUGCUGAGACAAGCUUGGAGUGCGUCCACUAGCAUCUGUAGAAUGUGCUGCAGACUGAACUAGGUUGUUUUAUCAUUGUGAUCCUUUUAUUAUUUAUUUUUCUUUUCAGGAGUUUCAAGUUCCAAUGUGGUUGAUGCAGCUCCAGUACUGUACUUCAUUAGGAUCAGUUCAAAUUUAUUGUUUUAUUAUUGACUAUAAUUUAAGUUUCGUAAGAAAUGUGAAGGAGAUUUUUUUCAAUAGUGUAAUACUUCAUGGACUCUUUGUAAUUUUAUAAUAUAAUGUUAAUUUCGUGCUAACAUUAUAAAA